rnacentral:rRNA from 1 species
CAGUAGCCGCGGUAAUACAGAGGGUGCAAGCGUUAAUCGGAAUUACUGGGCGUAAAGCGCACGCAGGCGGUCUGACAAGUCAGAUGUGAAAUCCCCGGGCUUAACCUGGGAACUGCAUUUGAAACUGUCAGGCUGGAGUCUUGUAGAGGGGGGUGGAAUUCCAGGUGUAGCGGUGAAAUGCGUAGAGAUCUGGAGGAAUACCGGUGGCGAAGGCGGCCCCCUGGACAAAGACUGACGCUCAGGUGCGAAAGCGUGGGGAGCAAACAGGAUUAGAUACCCCAGUAGUCCCUGUCUCUUAUAC